rnacentral:misc_RNA from 1 species
AGAAAGUAGAAUUAUAUUCUAGGGCUUCAGUUUUUGUAUCUGCACUUGGAAUUGCAGUUGAAAAAUGGCGGACGAAGCAAAUAGAACUGCUUUUAUUGAAAUUCAGGGUCGAAUGAUAGAGACUACCGGUAAAUUGAAGCAGGUUCAAACCCAGAUUCGAAACAAAGAAACCGAGAAGAAGCGUGCUUAUUUGACAUUGGAGGAACUGAAACAGCUGUCUGAUGACACUAAUACAUACAAAGCCAUAGGAAGAACAUUUGUCUUAGAGCCAAAGGCUGUGUUAAUGAACGAGCAAGAGCAAAAACUCAAGGAUGGUGAAACUGCAAUUGCCUCUUUGCAGACUUCUAAAGAGUAUUUGGAAAAGCACAUGGCGGAGGUGGAGAAUAACCUUAGGGAGCUCUUGCAACAAGAUCCUGGUCUUGCUCGUCAGAUAAUGACCAUGUCUGUAGCGUAGAUAUCUUCUGCUUCUGAAGUUCCUUUUGUCAACUCUUUCCUUGGAAGAAAAAAAAAACGAUAGCUUCUCAAAGAUUUUUUGGAACUUCAAAUUCUAGGUAAAGAAUACACUCUGUACUGGCUGUAUGAGGAACUUAUCCACCUGAUUUCUGGCACGCUGCUGUGUUGGUCGUAAAAUCGUAAUGCUUGCUUCUAUUGGACCUGGAAUUGGUCUAGAGACUACUGCGAGUCAAGUCGUAAAAUUCAUUAGAAAUGUUGUGUAUUAGCUUUCCUUAACACUUUUGCGGCUUGAGUUUCCAAAUAGUUAAUACUUAAUGGUUGGAUGUAUUCUUUCUGCAAAUGGUUCGU